rnacentral:rRNA from 1 species
GACGAACGCUGGCGGCGUGCUUAACACAUGCAAGUCGAACGAUGAACCGGAGCUUGCUCUGGGGAUUAGUGGCGAACGGGUGAGUAACACGUGGGCAACCUGCCCCAGACACCGGGAUAACCAUUGGAAACGAUGGCUAAUACCGGAUACGACCACUUCGGGCAUCCGAUGGUGGUGGAAAGGAUUCUGGUCUGGGAUGGGCCCGCGGCCUAUCAGCUUGUUGGUGGGGUAAUGGCCUACCAAGGCGACGACGGGUAGCCGGCCUGAGAGGGCGACCGGCCACACUGGGACUGAGACACGGCCCAGACUCCUACGGGAGGCAGCAGUGGGGAAUAUUGCGCAAUGGGCGAAAGCCUGACGGCAGCGACGCCGCGGUGAAGGGGACGAAAGGGUCCUUCGGGAUUGUAAACCUCUUUCAGCAGGGAUGAAGCGAAA